rnacentral:rRNA from 1 species
GACGAACGCUGGCGGCGUGCUUAACACAUGCAAGUCGAACGGAAAGGCCCUGCUUUUGUGGGGUGCUCGAGUGGCGAACGGGUGAGUAACACGUGAUUAACCUGCCCUUGACUUUGGGAUAACUUCAGGAAACUGGUGCUAAUACCGGAUAGUACCUCCUGCUGCAUGGUGGGGGUUGGAAAUUUUCGGCGGUUGGGGAUGGACUCGCGGCUUAUCAGCUUGUUGGUGGGGUAGUGGCUUACCAAGGCUUUGACGGGUAGCCGGCCUGAGAGGGUGACCGGCCACAUUGGGACUGAGAUACGGCCAAGACUCCUACGGGAGGAAGCAGUGGGGAAUAUUGCACAAUGGGCGGAAGCCUGAUGCAGCAACGCCGCGUGCGGGAUGACGGCCUUCGGGUUGUAAACCGCUUUCGCCUGUGACGAAGCGUGAGUGACGGUAAUGGGUAAAGAAGCACCGGCUAACUACGUG